GGAGACUGAUGUUCAGUAGAAAAACAUCCUCCUUUGGCAGGAUAAACCUCCACGAAUUAGCUUAAAAACGCUUCAGAAGACCAAAGACAGAGGAGGACUGGAUCUACCCAACUUUUAUUAUUAUUUCUUAGCCAACAGGCUGCAAUAUAUACCAAGAUGGUUGCAAGAUAACCCACUAGAUGAGUCUUGGUUAGAUAUAGAACAGACACUUUGCAAUACGAUAGAGCUUUCAGACUUACCAUUUAUUAGCUCAAGUAGAGCUGAAACAACUAAUCGAUUUAAUCGAUUAUAAUCGAUUAUUAAAAUAGUUAACAACUUUUUUAGUCAUCGAUUAGUUGUUUAAUAAUCAUAUUUUACCGCAUAAAGUCUAUUUUUUACCACAAUCUGACAUCGGUUACAAUCUGUUAAAUUUGCCGCCAGUGUGUGGCAGUAAUGAGCCACUGAUCUACCAGUGGGGCCGUAGAAGAAGAAAUUAGCCAAUAAGUGCCCUCGGUUUUCAUGACAUAUCACGUUACUGACGCGCAUCUUGCUGUGAGAGAUGGCGGAUCAACAACAAAUACGGAAGAAAAAUAGAAGCGACAAAACAAGAGAAACCCCGGACAAAAACCUCACGAGUAUGGGAGCACUUCACUAGAUGCCUUGAAAAGACCGGUGACCUACAAAAUAUGCAAAAACCAUGGCACGACGGAAGCACGACGUCCCUAAGUGAACAUUUGAGACGAAAACGUGGGGGCUGAUGCAGCAGAGGAAUGUCCGAAAAAAACAAGCAACGAUGGACAACUACAUGGGGAACAAGACACUCACCCACAGCAAUGCAUACCACUUACAAACUCUAUUCCAGAUUCUACAUUAUUUUUUAUGGAAUUUACCUCUUAUAUUUUGAUGCCAAAAAAUUAUUCUGGACUGAUAUUUUGCACUGUUUAGCUCAUUUUACACUGCUGACUGUGGUCAUGUGCAAUAAAAUAGAUUGCAGUCAACUGCACAAUUC